rnacentral:rRNA from 1 species
AUUGAACGCUGGCGGCAGGCCUAACACAUGCAAGUCGAGCGAGCGGCGGACGGGUGAGUAAUGUGUGGGAAACUGCGUGAUGGAGGGGGAUAACUACAGGAAACGGUAGCUAAUACCGCAUACCACCAGAGGUGCCCAGAUGGGAGUAGCUAGUAGGUGGGGUAACGGCUCACCUAGGCGACGAUCCCUAGCUGUUCUGAGAGGAUGACCAGCCACACUGGAACUGAGACACGGUCCAGACUCCUACGGGAGGCAGCAGUGGGGAAUAUUGCACAAUGGGCGCAAGCCGGAUGCAGCCAUGCCGCGUGUGUGAAGAAGGCCUUCGGGUUGUAAAGUACUUUCAGCGGGGAGGCGUUACCCGCAGAAGAAGCACCGGCUAACUCCGUGCCAGCAGCCGCGGUAAUAC